rnacentral:rRNA from 1 species
UACGUAGGGCGCAAGCGUUAUCCGGAAUUAUUGGGCGUAAAGAGCUCGUAGGUGGUUUGUCGCGUUGUCCGUGAAAACUCACAGCUCAACUGUGGGCGUGCGGGCGAUACGGGCAGACUGGAGUACUGCAGGGGAGACUGGAAUUCCUGGUGUAGCGGUGGAAUGCGCAGAUAUCAGGAGGAACACCGAUGGCGAAGGCAGAUCUCUGGGCCGUAACUGACGCUGAGGAGCGAAAGCAUGGGGAGCGAACAGG